CUUGGACUGCAUCAGAUCUUUAUCUGUUACAGAGGUGAAAUCACAGUCCAUCUCUGCUUCUGACAGUCAUUUAAACAUUGCAAUCACCUUACUUGCAAGUUCUUUCUGCAUACUUGCAGCUCUCUUCAAGUCUCUCAUCUUGAAUGGUGGACAUCAACUCUGUUGAUGAAAAUUUGAUAUCCAAGAAUGCGGAAUGUCAAGGAGGAAUUCUUAGAUAUGGAGCAUGAGGAGUUAUUCAACCAAGGUCUUUCUAGAGCUUUCUCCAAGAUUAACCUAAACCACCUACCAUGGUCCUAUAAAGGAAAACUGAAUAAUGGAGACAUUGAUGAAGAUGACUGGAUUUUUACUGCCACAAAGGAAUUGUAGGUUUGUCCUUCUUUCCAACACUGUAUUUUUAAAGGAAUGCUCAGACCCUG
rnacentral:lncRNA from 1 species